CCCGCUGAACUUAAGCAUAUCAGUAAGCGGAGGAAAAGAAACUAACUAGGAUUGCCCCAGUAGCGGCGAGUGAACAGGCAAGAGCUCAAAGUGGGAAUCCGUGGCCGGACGAGUUACGGAAUUGUAAUCUAGAGGGGUCCUCCGAAGGCAUCGCGCCUCGCAUAAGUCCCCUUGGAACAGGGCGCCAAUGAGGGUGAAAGCCCCGUAGUCGGCGAGAUGCGGCCGUAGGAGGACCUUCGAAGAGUCGGGUUGUUUGGGAUUGCAGCCCUAAAUGGGAGAUAAACUUCUUCUAAAGCUAAAUAUUUAUGGGAGACCGAUAGCGAACAAGUACUGCGAAGGAAAGGUGAAAAGAACUUUGAAAAGAGGGUUAAAAGACUUGAAAUCGUUGAGAAGGAAGCGGUAGAAGAGUAAUUAUUCGACCGCGAUGUCGCCGCGUGGGCACGGGCCGCCGCCUGGGUUCGAGUACUUCAUCGGGCUCUCCUGGGCGUGUCGGCCACCGGGUCCUGCGGCCUUUUCGCGGCCGAGAGGCAGGGUGAGGUCGUGUCGGAGGGAGUCACCGGGGAGGGAGUUUCCCGCUCCGGAAAACCGCGACGCGGCCUGAGGGGCCUUUGGGCGACCCUGCCAAAAUGGCUUUUACCGACCCGUCUUGAAACACGG
rnacentral:rRNA from 1 species